AUGAGACUCUUGCUUCCCUUUGAAAGAGGCAAACCCCUACUUCAAUUGUCAUCUGACGCCUCUACCCCAGCUGUGGACUCAGACCUCUCACAACCAAAAAAAAGAAAAUCAAAAUCAAACGAAUCCGAAUAUAACCAAUCUAUCGCCUUUGAUGACUCGUUGACAGCCUCCUCAACCCAAGCUUCCAUCUCCUGCUCCAGACAUCGGUGCUUGCCCGCGCCAGUCCAUGAAAGGUGGAUGAAGGUGAGUUUGACUACGAACUCGAGGAUGCUGGGAACGAUCUCUUUUCGGGGAAUCACUCCCAUCGAGAGGCCCUCUUCCUCCCUUUUUCUGAAUCUGGUAGAGAGGCAAAAGAGAAGUCCAGAGAGAUCUCGACUCUUUCAGGGAAAGGAGGGAGAUCGAAUGCGAGAUGGAGUCCCUGCUGAAUGGAGUGGACAUCCUUGGGGACAGUUGUGUAAGACUUAAUUUACCAAAAAAUGGGACGGAAAAACUACUAAAAAGAUCACAAGAAACCCAGCUCAAAGUGAAUGGAGAGAGAACCCCUGCGCCUUGGAAGGAUCUGAAGUUGUUCGGACACUCAUAGACAAGUGA
rnacentral:rRNA from 1 species